rnacentral:rRNA from 1 species
UCCUACGGGGGGCAGCAGUGGGGAAUAUUGCACAAUGGGGGAAACCCUGAUGCAGCGACGCCGCGUGAGCGAUGAAGUAUUUCGGUAUGUAAAGCUCUAUCAGCAGGGAAGAAAAUGACGGUACCUGAGUAAGAAGCCCCGGCUAACUACGUGCCAGCAGCCGCGGUAAUACGUAGGGGGCAAGCGUUAUCCGGAUUUACUGGGUGUAAAGGGAGCGUAGACGGCAGUGCAAGUCUGGAGUGAAAGGCGGGGGCUCAACCCCCGGACUGCUCUGGAAACUGUACGGCUGGAGUGCAGGAGAGGUA